rnacentral:rRNA from 1 species
GAUGAACGCUAGCGGCGUGCCUAAUACAUGCAAGUCGAGCGAACGGACGAGAAGCUUGCUUCUCUGAUGUUAGCGGCGGACGGGUGAGUAACACGUGGAUAACCUACCUAUAAGACUGGGAUAACUUCGGGAAACCGGAGCUAAUACCGGAUAAUAUUUUGAACCGCAUGGUUCAAAAGUAAAAGACGGUCUUGCUGUCACUUAUAGAUGGAUCCGCGCUGCAUUAGCUAGUUGGUAAGGUAACGGCUUACCAAGGCAACGAUGCAUAGCCGACCUGAGAGGGUGAUCGGCCACACUGGAACUGAGACACGGUCCAGACUCCUACGGGAGGCAGCAGUAGGGAAUCUUCCGCAAUGGGCGAAAGCCUGACGGAGCAACGCCGCGUGAGUGAUGAAGGUCUUCGGAUCGUAAAACUCUGUUAUUAGGGAAGAACAUAUGUGUAAGUAACUGUGCACAUCUUGACGGUACCUAAUCAGAAAGCCACGGCUAACUACGUG